rnacentral:tmRNA from 1 species
GGGGGCGAAAGGUCUCGACGGGGAGUGAGGAAUCGUCGGUUGCGAGCCGAGGCGCACGGCCUCGUUAACAACGUGCAAACCUAUAACUGCCGAAACUUACGUUCCGGCCUACGCCACCGCCUAAGGUGGCGACGCUCUCCCGGCUUCGCUGAUCGGGCCGGCUUGAGCGUCAACUAGAUCAGCUUACCGAGCCUCUGACGUUCGUAGGGGGCAGGGAAACACCACGAACUAGCGGCCGCGCGGCCCGCCUGUGGGCUUGUGCGGUCGUGACAAACUAAACGCAGGACACGCUCGUAGUAGCCGGCGGGGACUGCUCUUCGGACGUGGGUUCGAUUCCCACCGCCUCCACCA